rnacentral:rRNA from 1 species
AAAUUGAAGAGUUUGAUCAUGGCUCAGAUUGAACGCUGGCGGCAGGCCUAACACAUGCAAGUCGAGCGGUAACACAGAGAGCUUGCUCUCGGGUGACGAGCGGCGGACGGGUGAGUAAUGUCUGGGAAACUGCCUGAUGGAGGGGGAUAACUACUGGAAACGGUAGCUAAUACCGCAUAACGUCGCAAGACCAAAGUGGGGGACCUUCGGGCCUCAUGCCAUCAGAUGUGCCCAGAUGGGAUUAGCUAGUAGGUGGGGUAAUGGCUCACCUAGGCGACGAUCCCUAGCUGGUCUGAGAGGAUGACCAGCCACACUGGAACUGAGACACGGUCCAGACUCCUACGGGAGGCAGCAGUGGGGAAUAUUGCACAAUGGGCGCAAGCCUGAUGCAGCCAUGCCGCGUGUAUGAAGAAGGCCUUCGGGUUGUAAAGUACUUUCAGCGAGGAGGAAGGCGC